ACUUCAGGCUUGGACUCCGGCUGCUUCGGUUGUUGCUUCACCUUCUGCGCCGCUGGCUUCACGACGGCCCUCUGUGGUGCAAGCUUCUUUGCCUUCGCCUGCCCUCGCACCGUGGCGAUCUCUGCCUUCGGUUCCUUCUCCGUUGAGGUUCGAGGAGUCGUCGCUUCUGCAAGCUGUGUGCUGAACUUCUCCCAGGAGAAGUCAGUGCUAAUCCCUUUGGCUCUGCUCAGGAGGUUCUCCAGAGAGGCUUGGGCCCCGUUCACCGGGCUAGCAGCUGCCUCCUCUGAGGGUGCCUCCUCCUCGGUGGGCGCCUUCUUCGCCUUGGCUUCGAGCUUGCUCGCAGCCGCUUCAGCUUCACUAGCUCGUUGGGAGGCAAGGG
rnacentral:lncRNA from 1 species